rnacentral:tRNA from 1 species
GGGCCGUUAGCUCAGCGGUAGAGCAGCCGCCUUUUAAGCGGUCGGUCGUGGGUUCGAAUCCCACACGGCUCACCA